UAUCUAUGGUACCAUUGGAACUGUAACAGUACCCUUUUUAGCCAAGUACUGUUCGCGUUUUUAAAAUAAAACAUGAUAUAUCACUGUGUAAUAGACACUGCUGGUGUUUUUUCGAGGAUGUAGUUUACACUGAAAUAGAAUUCGGAAGUAGCUAAUUGUUAAUUUGUGCAAAUGGUGGCAUUUUAUAUUACAGCCGGAUUUACACUGUUGCGCAUUGGGAAACACAUUAUUAGCUAAUACAGUGUACGUUUUUUUUUUUUUUUUUUUUUUGUGAGUUAAUUUAUUUUGUAUUUAAUACACAAUGUAAAUAAAGUUAACAUGUGGCAUCGUGCACGGUUAGUUUAGGGUUAAUGCGUUAUGGAAUGUUUAACAAGCCAUUGGAAAAGCAAGUUAAGUAUCGUUAUGGGCAACUAAAGGAUAUGACAUGCGUAGAAAAGGUACAAACUUUUAAUGUGUAAACGUAGAUAUAAAUAUAUUAAAAACAGGAAGUGGACGUAUGAUGUUGAACUGUUCGGCGCAGUCUUCUGCAGACUCCAAGACACACAUCUUUUCAACGCAUUCAUGUUUUCCCACUAAACCUCAAUCUAGAAUAAUAAGCUUGUAUUUUAUUGUUUAGUUAAAAUGCAACGUGUGCUACAGGUAUAGGAUUUUACGGUACUCCGUAAAAGACACUCUGAAUGCACUGUGCUGUAUACUCCCGGCUAAUCGACUCUGUUACGUUGCUACUGACGGGAACUCAGCCGCUAGCUGCAGUGGGGUGCUGUGCGUUCGCUGUAAUGUGAUGCGGUGUGUUUUAUCCGCUUCCCAGUCCUGUGACUCUUGAUCCAGGGGAAUACACUAACAAUCAUGUGAUUUCAGACAGAGCCACAAACCCCAGUAACAAAGAGGAGAAGUGGGAAUUCAUCAAGGGAUUCUGUGAGCAGGUCAACAAAAGAACUAGAAGGGUAUAUUACCAAAGGCAGCCCGACUUGCUGUGGUAUACAGAACAGCCAGGGCAUGCAUGCUGUAAACAUGAGCCCACAGAUUGCUACUCGCCUCCUGGCUCAUAAAAUCCAAUCCCCCCAGGAGAAGAAAUAACUGCACGCACUCACAUUUUUUAGACCUGCAUGAAAAGGUUUCACAGUGAAGCUGGAAAGUUCAGAUUUCUGAAUGAAUUGAUCAGUCUUGUGCCAAAGGUCUGAGGUCUGCCGAAACCAGCUGAACUCAAUUAACAUGGGUGUCGCAGUGUGGAAUUGAAUUCGGGUCCCACAGGUGAAAGGAGAGGAUUUUUAAAAAUGUGUUUAACAUGAGUGAAGCCAUCUGAUCACUGCGUUUGAUUAUCAAAGUAUCUGGGAACAUGGAGUACCGAGAGAGUGAAAUCAAGGCUUGAACAGGCCCAUCAGAUCCUGAAGAAGCAAGGUAUUAUCAAAAAAGACCCCAAGUUACCAGAGAACACUCUGUGGCCACCACCUUGUCCAAGAACAGGAAGCUCAGUGUUUGAUGAGGAAGAUAAAUCCAAGAGACGGCCGAAGUGGGCGGCGUCAGACCCAGGAAAAGGAAUGAACACAAAGACAGAUGAUGUGAAAUGAUGAUGACGCUAGGAGGCAAAGUGCUGUUUCGUUACACUAUGGUGCUGUGCUUGUGGACGGUUUGGUUGAUACAACUGGGAAACAAUGUUGAAUCUGUAAUGUAUUUGAAUUCACCGCUAUGUAAAUAUUACACAGGGCAUGCUAAUGCUAAUUAUAAAUAACCCUAUACAGCAUGGGCACACACAAGAUCUGCCAGUCUGCCAUGUUGCAUGGAGGGUUCCUUCUAAAAUGGUGAUUAGUUGCAACCUAAUUGCAGAUUUCUUGGAUGAACAAAACUAAGGCUUUAAAUCUAUGUUUAAUUCUGUGUCUAUGCAACCAUUUCCCAUUUGAACUGUCAUACACAUUUUCAUUGAAAAAAACAAACUUGAUUUAUAUAUUUAUAAUUUUUAUAAUUUACUUUUGUUUUUAUUUCAACUGUUACACCGAUUUUCACAAAUGAUUUGCGAUAAAAUGUUAAGUAAAAUACUGUUUUAAGAUUUUGAUUUGUAAAAUUUUACACUUUACGGUCUUAAAAGUGGCUCAGUUCAUUUCAAAGUGAUAUUGGCAGUGUAAAAAUUGCAAUGUUUGUUUAAAAAUCUUUCUAACAUUUAAUCAUUUUCCAGAACCAAGACAAGAUGGAGAAGGUGUCUAAACGAAUAAACACCAUUGAAGAGGUUCAGAACAACACGAAGCUCCUGAAUGAGAUGCCGACUAAUUACAGGAGGGGGGACAUCAUGAAGGGCCUGUAUGACAGGUGUGAGAAGCUGAGACCGACCCUUUUCCGACUGGCCGGUGACACCGUUGAUAACGACGAAGCAUUAGGUGCGGAAUCCUCUCGGGUUUAACUGGAGGGUAGUUCAAAAGGAGCUUGAAAAGUUCAGGGAUGCAGCAGGGUUCCAGCGGGGCGAGAUGGCUGGUGGGUGUUUCUUGAAAAGUUCAGGGAUGCAGCAGGGUUCCAGCGGGGCGAGAUGGCUGGUGGGUAUUUUGUGUGAUAAUUCUCUUGAAACCCUAUUAGCCUGCUUAGUACUUAUUCCUGCUUGGGAUUGUGGGCAUAGCAUAGCAGCACUCUAGACUAGAGGCAGGGGAGUCCCAGUUUUGGUGUGCUGGUGCAAUUAAGCAUAAAAUUGCAAAGUUCCCUAUUUGCAGCUACUAGUCUGUAGCGUUUAACUCAGGAGAAAAACACAGCCCUGUUGAAAGCACCAUGCUCCACUUAAACAGGUGAGAGAUACGAGUCAGAGAUAGCAACUGCCUAGUCUCCUUUCUGUACAGAUUUAAUUACAGUUAUUUGUCUUGCAAGGCAAAUAUGAGGUGAGAAGUUGAAAGCCACUCUGUUUAGGAUUUAGCUGUACUAUAUAAUAUCUAUUACUUUAAAAACCAAACAGUACAACCAUUUGGGACUCUCCGGCUUGCAGUGUGAACCUUGCUUCAGGACAGAGCAAUCUUGAAUGAUGGGCUGGGCUGACUCACACUGGGACUAAGGGGUUACUGGCAAGGACAAGGUGUGGCAGGGCACCGUUGCGGUCAAGGCUAGCGGCCGGAAUAUCAGAGGCUGGAGACAGGAGAUUGCAGUUUGAAGAACAAAGCGCCUGGUUCCUCUUUUAUGUCUUUCCCACUGAUUUCAGAAAUGUAUAACUUGGCGUUAGAUCAGGUAGGAGGUAUUAUUUUUUCAACGGAUUUCUUCAUUUUCCUAUUCUAGACUUGCACACUGAUCUGCCUGGUUUUGUUUUCAUCUGUUCUGUUCAGCCUGUGAGCCAGGGUGGGUUCAGCGGUAGUAAGAGUCGUGAAGGGCUGAGAGCUGCAGUGAGUAAGAGCAGCAGCAGCAGCAGCCAGGGCAGUGUGCAGGACCACCUGGAGCAGCGUCGAAGAGAUUCCUUGCGACGGCUUCUGACACCUCAGGCUCAGCUAAACAAGCCUGGGUACACACAGAGCACGGACACAGCAGGGGGCUCUUUGUUUGUACAGAAGUGAAGAUAUUAGGAGGGGGAGGAGGGGGUUGACAACAACUUGGCCAUAACCACUCGAGCAGUGCAAUUUUUUUCGAUCCACCAAACUAAAUGCAUUAAGUAUAUAAGUAGCACUCCCUGUAUAAUUCACACGUGGGCAUCUAGAACUAUUGCUGAGCUAUGUAAAGAACGUGGCAAAGGGGUUUCAUUAAAAAGCAACGUUGAUUUCUGUCGGGAUUCUCUUAACAUUUGUGUUCCGCUCACCUGUCCAGGCCUGUCCUACAGACCAAGUCAGCCCUAGGUCACCUCCAAUCACAUCCAAUCACAAGCUUGGCACGGCACACUAAACCUGUCAGCCCCGCCCAGGGGGAGCCCAUGGACAGUUCUCUGUCUGAUGUUUUUGUUUCACUGGACUCCAUUCAGCCAGGAGAAGGUGUGGUUAAUGUUAAAGCUGAGCGUCACACAAGGCGGCCAGUCCUUCUGCGAGGUUGGAGAGGUGGAGCACUUUCCAGAAAUCGGCUCCUGGACCAAUCACUGAAGGGAACUUGCUGACCUUCUCCGCCAGGACUCUGUGCAAAGAGCAAACGGGUUCCAAAUAUGAACAUCAUGAAAGAGUUGAAUGUUAGAAGAGAUUCAAAAUGAAGACCGUUGGUAUACUGUACAGGGAUGGAAAUAUGACUCCCAUUGCAUAGCAAUUUGAUCCAUUCCUGGUUUUACAAUAAUAAG